rnacentral:lncRNA from 1 species
CUUUUUCUGAGAAGUCAUUUCAAAUUUGCCAGCUAACUGAAGUUAUUUUUGUACCUAAAUGAGGACCAAUAACUAAAUCCCCAUUUCGGCACCAUUCUGAUCCUAAAAAUCCUGGCUCAGCUGCUGUCUAACCCUUUAGGUGUCUCAGCUGCUGCCAGCAAAGUCACUACAGAUGCUUGUAUUUCCUCUAGGGAGCACAAACAGAAGCAAACCAUAAUCUCCUGAGACAGCUUUCAGCCCUUAUUCAUGCUUCAGCCUCAGCAGGAACUGAAAUCCAGAUAGUCUUCAGUUCAUCUGCUGGCAGGUUUCCUGACAAGGCAUAACCUGAUGGACUGCAGUACUCCACAGAGCAAUUGAAUAUUUGGUCAAACUACUGCCAUAUUCUUCCUUCAAGUCACUAUGCUAUGAAGAGGCAUGCACCGUGCAUAGAACAGAGCCAUCUGUACCCUUUCAGAUGAUUGUGACAGCAAGUCUUUGGACUUCUGCUGGCAUGGAAUCCUACAUACGUGUUACUGACACAUAAAAACUACCUUUGUAAUCCUUCUACAAUCAGCUUCUCUCCUGGAUCCCUGCCAGAUCUCUGUAAGUGUUUGAUGUUUCAUCCAUACCCUUGGGGAAUACCUCAUUCACAUUACAGCUACUUUACAUCAUUGUAGCAUUGUAAAGAACGUUUAAAAUAUCACUCAUAGUGACAUUUUCCCGUGUCUGUACGGUGAAAAAUGCCUUUAGUGCACAUCAGACUUAAAUUUUAAAUACUCGGUA